rnacentral:rRNA from 1 species
GGGUUGUGAGGUUAAGCGACUAAGCGUACACGGUGGAUGCCCUGGCAGUCAGAGGCGAUGAAGGACGUGCUAAUCUGCGAAAAGCGUCGGUAAGGUGAUAUGAACCGUUAUAACCGGCGAUGUCCGAAUGGGGAAACCCAGUGCAAUUCGUUGCACUAUCGUUAACUGAAUACAUAGGUUAACGAGGCGAACCGGGGGAACUGAAACAUCUAAGUACCCCGAGGAAAAGAAAUCAACCGAGAUUCCCCCAGUAGCGGCGAGCGAACGGGGAGCAGCCCAGAGUCUGAAUCAGCUUGUGUGUUAGUGGAACGGUCUGGAAAGUCCGACGGUACAGGGUGAUAGUCCCGUACACCAAAAUGCACAGGCUGUGAACUCGAAGAGUAGGGCGGGACACGUGGUAUCCUGUCUGAAUAUGGGGGGACCAUCCUCCAAGGCUAAAUACUCCUGACUGACCGAUAGUGAACCAGUACCGUGAGGGAAAGGCGAAAAGAACCCCGGCGAGGGGAGUGAAAAAGAACCUGAAACCGUGUACGUACAAGCAGUGGGAGCACCUUCGGGUGUGACUGCGUACCUUUUGUAUAAUGGGUCAGCGACUUAUAUUCUGUAGCAAGGUUAACCGUAUAGGGGAGCCGCAGGGAAACCGAGUCUUAACUGGGCGUUAAGUUGCAGGGUAUAGACCCGAAACCCGGUGAUCUAGCCAUGGGCAGGUUGAAGGUUGGGUAACACUAACUGGAGGACCGAACCGACUAAUGUUGAAAAAUUAGCGGAUGACUUGUGGCUGGGGGUGAAAGGCCAAUCAAACCGGGAGAUAGCUGGUUCUCCCCGAAAGCUAUUUAGGUAGCGCCUCGUGAACUCAUCUUCGGGGGUAGAGCACUGUUUCGGCUAGGGGGUCAUCCCGACUUACCAACCCGAUGCAAACUACGAAUACCGAAGAAUGUUAUCACGGGAGACACACGGCGGGUGCUAACGUCCGUCGUGAAGAGGGAAACAACCCAGACCGCCAGCUAAGGUCCCAAAGUCAUGGUUAAGUGGGAAACGAUGUGGGAAGGCACAGACAGCCAGGAUGUUGGCUUAGAAGCAGCCAUCAUUUAAAGAAAGCGUAAUAGCUCACUGGUCGAGUCGGCCUGCGCGGAAGAUGUAACGGGGCUAAACCAUGCACCGAAGCUGCGGCAGCGACACUAUGUGUUGUUGGGUAGGGGAGCGUUCUGUAAGCCUGCGAAGGUGUGCUGUGAGGCAUGCUGGAGGUAUCAGAAGUGCGAAUGCUGACAUAAGUAACGAUAAAGCGGGUGAAAAGCCCGCUCGCCGGAAGACCAAGGGUUCCUGUCCAACGUUAAUCGGGGCAGGGUGAGUCGACCCCUAAGGCGAGGCCGAAAGGCGUAGUCGAUGGGAAACAGGUUAAUAUUCCUGUACUUGGUGUUACUGCGAAGGGGGGACGGAGAAGGCUAUGUUAGCCGGGCGACGGUUGUCCCGGUUUAAGCAUGUAGGCUGGUUAUCCAGGCAAAUCCGGAUAAUCAAGGCUGAGGUGUGAUGACGAGGCACUACGGUGCUGAAGUAACAAAUGCCCUGCUUCCAGGAAAAGCCUCUAAGCAUCAGGUAACAUCAAAUCGUACCCCAAACCGACACAGGUGGUCAGGUAGAGAAUACCAAGGCGCUUGAGAGAACUCGGGUGAAGGAACUAGGCAAAAUGGUGCCGUAACUUCGGGAGAAGGCACGCUGGUGUGUAGGUGAAGCCCCUGCGGGUGGAGCUGAGACCAGUCGAAGAUACCAGCUGGCUGCAACUGUUUAUUAAAAACACAGCACUGUGCAAACACGAAAGUGGACGUAUACGGUGUGACGCCUGCCCGGUGCCGGAAGGUUAAUUGAUGGGGUUAUCCGUAAGGAGAAGCUCUUGAUCGAAGCCCCGGUAAACGGCGGCCGUAACUAUAACGGUCCUAAGGUAGCGAAAUUCCUUGUCGGGUAAGUUCCGACCUGCACGAAUGGCGUAAUGAUGGCCAGGCUGUCUCCACCCGAGACUCAGUGAAAUUGAACUCGCUGUGAAGAUGCAGUGUACCCGCGGCAAGACGGAAAGACCCCGUGAACCUUUACUAUAGCUUGACACUGAACAUUGAGCCUUGAUGUGUAGGAUAGGUGGGAGGCUUUGAAGCGUGGACGCCAGUCUGCGUGGAGCCAACCUUGAAAUACCACCCUUUAAUGUUUGAUGUUCUAACGUUGGCCCCUUAUCGGGGUUGCGGACAGUGUCUGGUGGGUAGUUUGACUGGGGCGGUCUCCUCCCAAAGCGUAACGGAGGAGCACGAAGGUUAGCUAAUCCUGGUCGGACAUCAGGAGGUUAGUGCAAUGGCAUAAGCUAGCUUGACUGCGAGCGUGACGGCGCGAGCAGGUGCGAAAGCAGGUCAUAGUGAUCCGGUGGUUCUGAAUGGAAGGGCCAUCGCUCAACGGAUAAAAGGUACUCCGGGGAUAACAGGCUGAUACCGCCCAAGAGUUCAUAUCGACGGCGGUGUUUGGCACCUCGAUGUCGGCUCAUCACAUCCUGGGGCUGAAGUAGGUCCCAAGGGUAUGGCUGUUCGCCAUUUAAAGUGGUACGCGAGCUGGGUUUAGAACGUCGUGAGACAGUUCGGUCCCUAUCUGCCGUGGGCGCUGGAGAAUUGAGGGGGGCUGCUCCUAGUACGAGAGGACCGGAGUGGACGCAUCACUGGUGUUCGGGUUGUCAUGCCAAUGGCACUGCCCGGUAGCUAAAUGCGGAAGAGAUAAGUGCUGAAAGCAUCUAAGCACGAAACUUGCCCCGAGAUGAGUUCUCCCUGAGACUUUAAGUCUCCUGAAGGAACGUUGAAGACGACGACGUUGAUAGGCCGGGUGUGUAAGCGCAGCGAUGCGUUGAGCUAACCGGUACUAAUGAACCGUGAGGCUUAACCUUACAACGCCGAAG